ACUCAUACAGAUUUAUACAUGAACACAUGUUUACAUAUUCCCAUAUGCAAAUAGCAAACACAAUGGGAUCAUUCUUAACAUAUGUGUCCAGUUUGCUUUUUCAUUCGACACGAUGUGGGAAAAUAAGUUUGUGCUCAGGAUGACAUGUGGUCAGACCGGUAGAAAUACGACAAGAUCUCCAGCCAGGUUUCCAAAUUACAUUCAUCAGAGGCUUUGAUGUGUUAGGUGGGGAGCCAGCAAGCCCUCAAAGAGCUUAUUAGUGCUAAAGAUUUGCUCUAGAAGGUCAUAUGCUCAAGGGAGUGGGUGCACGCACGGGCACAGUUUGUGGACUCACUCACGAUAACAACCCAUUAGGAAUCAUCAGGAGUGUAAGGUUGGAGCCUGAUGGCCACAUGCUCUUCCUCUGUGCCAACCUGAGUUUGCCAGUGAAGUCACGUUCAUUGCUCCCAGUAAGAGAGUUUUGAACUGAAGGAGGCUCAUGGGCUACCUAGUCCAGUUCCCUUCUGUAUAGCUGAGGACCCCAAGGCCAGGAAGGUGAGUUGACUUGGCUUGUGGCCCAGGUCUCCAGAACCCCAGUAUGGGGAUCUUCUUGUAUACCAUAUGCUUUAUUUAUUUAUUUAUUUUUAAAGAAACCAUUAAAGAUUGACUGGGGUGUAGCUCCGUGUUAGAGCACUUGCCUAGCAUGUACCCUAGCAUGGGCCCUGAUUUCAGACCCCAGCACCACCAAAAACCAAACCCAGACAAAACAAGUUAAAAAGUGGGGAUGGGGUGGUGGCUCAGUGGUAGAGCACCUGCCUGGCCUGUUCGAGGCACUGGGUUCGAUUCUCAGCACCCCAUGUAAAUAAAUAAAAUAAAGGUCCAUUGACAAUUAAAAAAAAGUUUUUAAAAAAAGUUAAAAAGUUAAAGCUCACCCAAUUCUAAAUCUCAUUCAUUCAUCCCACCUUUGAUGUAAAUUAAGAAUUACAUCCCAAGGAGCCACCGUCCUUUGGCAAGCAUGGCCUUGAAGCCUUAUCUAUCUGAACACUUCUGCUCCUCUCCACCCACCUGAGGGGAGAGCGCAUACAGAUCUGUGCAGGAGGUGGCCAGCCUUCUGUCCUUCACAGUAGCUUGUAAGAAGAGCUGGUGAAUUCAUGGCUCAAGUGACAAAGUCACUGUUGUCCCACUUCUUUGUUUGCAUUCCUGGGGAGAAAGUGGUCCUCCACAGCCUGAAGCUUUGUGGCUUUGUGGCGCGGAUGUUGCUGGUUUCCCUUUGAACAUGUUUCCAAAUCACCACCUGAAGAAUUCCUGGGCUCCGCUUCAUUUAACAUACUGCUAUUGCACACCCACAAAGGACAAAGCUCCAGAAGAGACGGAGAGAUGUAACAGCACAGAUCUUACCACCAGAAGAACAAGCCAAGCCAAGAAUUUGUUGUAGGACAUAGGAGGACUUCUGAGAGAUGCUGUCGCAGAGGGGCCAGGACCAUGAUUCAGGCACGAGGGAUUGGGGAGCAUCAAGGUGGGCUUCUGUGAGGACAGUAAGGGCAGCCACAGGCUGGAUGGCUGUUGAGCAGUUAGACUGGGCGGUCAGGUGAGGAAAGGUCCUGUGUGGGGAAAGUGUUUCUGGGAAAACUGCUCAUUCAGUUUGACCAGGGCCUGGAGUACAAAUGCUGGGGCAUUUGUGGUGUGAAAUUGGGGGUGUUCUGGAGGAGCAUCCAGUGACAAGAGUGGCCUCUUUACACAUUUGGGAGAUUAUGGAAAGGGAGAGGGCAGGGGUUUUUGAGUUGGGCAGUGGCAUUAUGGGAGAUUAAUCUAGGGAGAAGAGGGCUAUAAGGAUGGUGUUGGCAGAUGAGACAUUUGGAAAACCAGUGAGAAAGGGAGUUCCUGUAAGAGGCCACGAGAGCUGUGGCAUUGGAGGGGCCGGGAGAACACACAGGAAGGUGAGGUCUGAGCAUGGACGGAUGAGAGGGGCAGGGAGCGGGUAUCAAAGAGCUGGUUCUGGCAAUUGAGAGCAGAGUUGCACCAUCAAAAACCAAAGCAGCUGGGUGCAGGGGCGCACGUCUGUCAUCCCAGCAGCUCAGGAGGCUGAGGCAGGAGGAUCAUGAGUUCAAAGCCAGCCUCAGCAACGGCGAGCACAAAGCGACUCAGCGAGACCCUGUCUCUGAAUAAAAUACAAAGUAGGGCUGAGGAUGUGGUUCAGUGGCUGAGUGCUCCUGAGUUCAAUCCCUGGUGCCCACCUCCCCCAAACAAAACAAAGUAAAACAACAAAACAAAGCCAUACAGACGACAAGACCCAACUAUAUAAAAACACAAGCUCCUCCAAGGCAGAGCUGGUUUUAGAGGCUGGGGACGGGUGAAAAGAUGGUUUUGACAUUUUGAAAAUACUGAACUUGAGGUAUUGGAGAGCUAUGCCAUUGGAGAUGUCCAGCCCGCAGUCAGAUGUGCCAAUUGGGCCAGAAGUGCCUACUAAAGAUUUGGCCACUGGAUUUUGGCACACUUUCUCUGAGGCAGAGAAGAAAGGAGAUCAGGACUGGAGUUAGCACAGCAGGAACUUGGGAGUGCAUUUCUCACAUUCCUGGCCCUUGAUUCCUCUGAGAAUAUGGGCAGGUGACAUAGCAUUCCUGAGCCUCAGUUUCCCCACUUGUGAGAUGGGGGACAGCUGUGUGUUCAAACUCAGGGAGUUGUGUGAAGGUGAGC
rnacentral:lncRNA from 1 species